AGUGUCUUAGAUUAACAAAAAUUUAUCUUGUGACAAGUGAGACAUACAACAGAAAUCUGCUUUACUGCCUCUGUAUGGCAACAGAGAAUGCAAGAUUGCCACAGCUGUUAUGAUUUACAUAGGUACUUAUCUUUGAUUUUCUAUCCACGCCUUUCACUGUCUCCAGCAGCAGGACUCAAGGAAGUGUGUGAAAUUUAGAGUGCUUAGGGGAAACCAUUUUUUCAAAAAGCAAACUCCCUGCACUCACUGGAGCAAAGCUGUGGCUCUACUGUAUCAUACCGAAACUGUUGUCUUGACUGAAAUGUAUUGUAUAUACAUUUUUAUGUGCAUAAAAAUGGAAUGAGAGAAAGGUUUUGGUGCUUCCAUAAGCACUUCUAUAAGCAUUUGCUUCUCUGCAUAAUGUUGGGAAAAGAAAUCAGAGCAAACUCCAAGUGGGGAAGUGACCAAAUGGCAAAGACAAGAAAAAGACAAGAGACAAGUCAAGAUUAAGACACUUCACAAGACUAUUAAAACAGACCUGAGAGUUGGACUAGAUAAUCUGGGUUGAACUGGAUGGUCUUUAAAGGUCUCUUCUGAUGCAAACCAUUCAAUGACCCUAUUAUAAAAACUUAUCAACUUAUUUAUACUUAAAAACCAGGAACUAGAGAGGAAAAAUAUUACUGUGAUAAGUACUGUCCAGAAACAUGAAGAUAUUUAAA